rnacentral:rRNA from 1 species
CCUACGGGUGGCAGCAGUGAGGAAUAUUGGUCAAUGGACGAGAGUCUGAACCAGCCAAGUCGCGUGAAGGAUGACUGCCCUCUGGUUUUAAAACUCUUUUUUUAAAGAAAUAAAACGAGGCACGUAUGCCUUUUCGCAUGUACUUUAUGUAUAAGGAUCGGCUAACUCCGUUCCGGCAGCGGCGGUAAUACGGAGGAUCCGAGCGUUACCCGGACUGAUUGGGUUUAAAGGGAGCGUAGGUGGGUUGUUAAGUCAGUUGUGAAAGUUUGCGGCUCAACCGUAGAAGUGCAAUUGAUACUGGCAGUCUUGAGUGCAGAUGAGGUGGGCGGAAUUCGUGGUGUAGCGGUGAAAUGCGUAGAUAUCACGAAGAACACCGAUUGCGAAGGCAGCUUACUAGACUGUGACUGACGCUGAGGCUCGAAAGCGUGGGUAUCAAACAGGAUUAGAUACCCGGGUAGUC